rnacentral:rRNA from 1 species
UACGUAGGGGGCGAGCGUUGUCCGGAUUUAUUGGGCGUAAAGAGCGUGUAGGCGGCCAGGUAGGUCCGUUGUGAAAACUCGAGGCUCAACCUCGAGACGUCGGCGGAAACCCUCUGGCUAGAGUCCGGAAGAGGAGAGUGGAAUUCCUGGUGUAGCGGCGAAAUGCGCAGAUAUCAGGAAGAACACCCGUGGCGAAGGCGGCUCUCUGGGACGGUACUGACGCUGAGACGCGAAAGCGUGGGGAGCGAACAGG